GGGGCAGAGCCAGCCCUGUUCUCUUGAGCAGACAGCACAGCCCAAGGCUGCAAAGCAUCUGGGAUGCUGGGGGACUCUGGUUUAACUUAAACCAGAAAGGGGUUUGGGAAAGACAUUGCAUAAACCGGUCUAACCCAAAUCAGUUAAGUCUGAUACUACAUUCAACCAGGUUUAUCUUAAAUGAGUUUCAGCCAUUUUGAAGCUGGUUUAUGUGCACUGAACUUAUGUUCUAUUACAGGUUUAAACCAGAUUCUGAUCACUUAAACUGGUUUAGGUAUAAUGUCUGUUCCUAGCUUUAGUGUCUCUACCUCAUAUCCCCCAAAGUGGGGAUAAUGACAUUAUCUGGAAUGUUAAAGAUAUUUGAGACUGUGAAGUGCUCAAAUUAUGGUAAUAGGGAUUAUUUAAAUAUCCAAAAGAUCUAUUCAUAUUUUUGAAGAAGCAAGGAAUUUUUGGUGAUAUUGUUCGUUAGACGAACUGUGUAAUUAGGAGAGAAGUUAGACAAGGUUUUGGGCAUAAAGUGCUUAAUGCUCUGACAUCUUAGAGAAUCAUAGAGAAUGAGGGUUGGAAGGGACCUCAGGAGGUCAUCUAGUUCAACUGCCUGCUCAAAGCAGGACCAGCCCCAACUAUAUCAUCCCAGCCAAGGUUUUCUCUAGCCUCCAACUUCCGAGGAUAGAGAUUCCACAACCUCUCUGGGUAGUUUGUUCCAGUGCUUUACUACCCUCCUAGUAAGAGUUUUUUCCUAAUAUCCAACCUAAACUUCCUUUACUGCACCUUGAGGCCAUUGAUCCUUGUUCUAUUAUCUGCUAACACUGAGAACAGUCCAUCUCUAUCCUCCUUGGAGCCACUUUCAAGGAGCUGAAGGCUGCUAUUAAAUCCCACCUCAGUUUUCUCUUCUCCAGACUAAAUAAGCCCAGUUUCCUCAGCCUCUCCUCAGAAGUCAUGUGACUCAGUCCUCUAACUAUUUCCGUUACUGGACUUUCUGCAAUUUGUCCACAUCCUUUCUGUAGUGGGGAGCCUGAAACUGGACAUAAUACUCCAUAUACGGCCUCACCAGUGCCAAAUAGAGGGAAAUAAUCACUACCCUAAAUCUGCUGACAACGCUCCUCCUAAUGCAUCCCAGUAUACCAUUAGUCUUUUUGGCAAUAAGGCACACUGGUUCAUAUUCAGUUUGUUCACUCUAACUCCUACAUCCUUUUCUGCACAGCUGAUGCUUAGGCAAUCGGUUUGCACCCUGUACUGGUGCAUGGAAUUGUUCCAUCCAAAGUGCAGGACCUUGCACUUGUUCUUAUUGAACCUCAUGAGAUCUUGCCCAACCAUACAACUGGUCCAAUAAAAGAGAUUGCUGAAAACACCCUUGAUUGUCACAUUAUUGCCUGGACCACCAUGACUAAAUCAGACCUACUCCUAGAUUGGCAGACAGUCUGCUCAAAUCAAGACACCAGCAGAUUGGAUUCUAUCAGCCCAACAAGGAAAGUGAAUUCCAGAGCUGAAGGUCUGCCUCCCUUAUCUCAAACUCUUUGGGGGUUUUCUACUGUGAAGUGUUGCAGAAGUGAUAACAGAGACUGUGCUCUUUUGAGGGGCUUCCACUUCCUAAUUGGAGAGUUUCAACUUAUAAUACAAAGACUAUUUGCAACCCAAAACUGUGGAUGCAUGUGUAGACUCCCAAAUGAUAAGUACACUCUUUUUAAAGAAGAAAGAGAAUCAGUUUCCCUUUUACCUACCUGCCAGAUCCAAGUUCAGGAUUUUGUAUUUGAAGGAGAAGAGCUAGUAAUAUUGCUAAAAAUCUAAAUCAGUGUCACAAAGGCAGCACCUUGUUCUGCCUUGAGUGCUAUUGAUUUCUUCAACUGUUGCAUGAAAGAUAUAGAGCUAUGGUUCUGGCAAGGUAUGACGUUCCAUUCAUUUUCAAAACUGCUACUGUGAAGCUUUACUCUCUCUGAUAUUUAAAGAGGUAGGGAUUAUUCCUGUUCUCUGUGCUAUAUGGAAGUAAUUGUUCCUUUUCUCAAAGGGCACAGGAAGAAAUCUGGCUAUGUACUGUGCAAGGACUGUUCGUGACACUUGCAGAAACACCUGAGUACAUGAUAUCUGUGUAUGGUGGACUUGGCUGGCAUCUCAGGGUACUAAAUUCUGAUAUACUUUCACCCUUAAAACCAUUUAAUUAAGCAGGGGACCAAACUCUGAGCUCAGGCAUGAGACUUUUCCUCUUUCAGUCACCAAAACAAAUCCAGUCCAAGUUAUUCUCUCAUGGUCCAUGUGAACUAGUUUGUGGCCUCAGUUUGCUUUCUAGAGGACUUAUUAAUGCUUUGCUCUCAGCCUCUCUCCAGACUUUUCUUCCUGAGCAGGUCUGUAUGAACACUAAGACUGACAUUCCCUCUCUUUCUUAUAUAGUUCUUCCUGUCUGCCUGAGGUACAAUAGCAUGAUAAAGCUUAGAUACAAGUACUUUGCAGAAAAGACUUGGGUUUCCUCUCAAUUUGGCACCUUUCAUAUACUCUUAUUCAUGUAGAUGCUCCCUAAUGGAUUUACACACUCCCUAAAUGUGUAUUAUUUCUUUUCAUUAAGUACCAAGGCCAUUUUGUCAAAGUGUCUGCCAGAACAUAAUGGUGCAGAGAAGAACUGGGAAGUUGGGAUUUGAAUCCUUGCUUGCUCUUCUGUGUUCAAGCCAGGCUGUUACAGUGGCUGGUUCCCCAUACACCCAAUAGCAUCACGUUUUAAAUAUAUAUGCGUCACAAAUGCACAACAGCAUAUUUCUAUAGAUAGCAUAAGGUUCCUCUGUUCCCAGUUAUAAAGGAAACAUAUAUAGCAAAUUUUGCCCAUGGUAUAAGCUCAAAUGCACCCUGGUUGUUUCUCAGCUCUAGUAUUAAAGCUAGCAAAGGAAGGGAUUGGGCAGUAAAGGGGGGAGCACACCAAAUAGUGUAAGCUAGAAAAAUAGUAGCUCUCUCUGCUAAUCGCACCUAAUGAACUGUCUAUUGUUAAUCAAAACACUGUUGUGGAUUACCACAAGCAGCCAGUGAGUAGAGAAAGGAGAAUUACUCUAUAAUGUAUUAGUGUCUGUGCAGUGUAAAGGAGGGAGUAGGUGCUUUCCGAGUAGGUUUCAAAUCCAGUUUCAGCCCCUGAAGAUCCUAUAGCCUAGAGCAGUGGUCACCAAGCAGUGGAUCUUGAAUUACCAGUAGAUCUUGGAGCCUCUUGCAGUAGAUCUCAGAGGCUCUUGGAGUCAUCUGAGGCUGGUGUUGGGGGUUGAGUGCCCACAUGCAUGUACACACGUGCCCCAGCCCAGCAGGUCAGUCCGUGGGGGAGGGAAGGGGUGGGGGCUAGAUCGAGGCCCCCAUGGUGAGGGACAGUACUGCAGAGGCAGGAGCAGGGGUAAGUUGAGCAGGGCCCCAGCUGGGUUGUACUUACCAGCUGGUGAGGCGCAGCCUCAAAUAAUUUUUUCUCGAUCUGUCACCCUUCUUCCCUCCCCACACACUCCCCUGCUAGGCGGGGGAAUGGUGCAUGCUAUAUCUUGGGCUGCUUUUAAAUGCCAAAGGUGAUCUCUGACUUAAAAAGGUGGGAGACCACUGAUCUAGAUGGACGAUAUGCAUAUAAAUGACAAGAGGAUGAAAUGCAGCCAAAGCAGUGCAAGUGAACUGUAAACAUUAGAUGAGCCUUUUUAAACCUUUGGUUUUUUUUCCAUGCUGUCAUUUCUUGUUGGGGCAGAAGGUGCUUCUCAAUGUGGGGGUGAAGAUUUUUUUGGUCAUUCAACACAAUAGUAUAUUUGUGUCACAACCCGAGGGUGUGAUUUUUGUUUGUGUGUGCUUCGGCACUGCUAAAUUAUUUCCCGCCACUCGUAGCUUUCUUUGCAGCGUGCAUUUCUAGGUUGCAAAAAGAGAAAUGCACGGUGCAAAGAGUUCCCGCCAUUCGUAUGCAGAUCUAUGUCCCACUAUUGGCCAGUUCUAAAUUAUUCCCACGUGGCGGCUAGCGAUUGGCUUGCUAGCCGUAUAAGAGGCUUGAGCGGUUUCCGCCCAAGUUGGAGGACUCCACGACUAUCAGGAGGAAGAGAACUUCACGUCUCAUGAAGAUCUCUAAGCACUACGGAGCCUAUUGGACCCAGCGUGUAUAUCAAGAAGGCUACAGGGGUCUGAUCAGCCUCUCGCCUCUUCCCGUCGCUGCCUAAUCCCUCGACGUACCCUUCCCUGCGCGCAAGUUCCACGGAGCCUAGCAAACUUCGUGUGAGUGUAUCCAGAGCUCUGUCCGGGUUCGAGUCCUGCAGGUUUAUCUUCCCGUCGCCGAAAACCCAUUGUGACGUACUCUCGUGUUUUGCAUCUUCCCGUCGCCGAAAACCCCCUGCGACGUAUUCUUGUGCCCUGCAGGUUUGAGUUUUGUUUUGUUCUGUUUUGUAACCGCAACUCAAGCAAGUUUUCCUGCCUGCACCGCGACCAUCUUCGGUGUAAGUAAAAUAAUCUUUAAUCAACCACUAAGCUUCCAUGCCUAAUUCUAGCGUGCCGCCUGCCUUCCCCAACCUGGCGUGUCCGGGCUGCUGGCCACAGCCCGCCGCGUGAAAAAAGGGCCUCGGACUGCUCCUGGCCCGCACAAUUUGAAGGGAAGACUCCAUUUUGGUCAAAUCCUGGAAGGUACUGAGCAUGCAUAGCUUCUGUGAAGUCACAAAGUAUAUGAUGAUAAUCUGAAUCUCCUAGGAUUAAAUCUUUUGAUUCCAAUCUCUUGGAAGUUUUAUCUAAUGUAGUUUAUCUUUGUCUCUCUCAGGCUGCAGCACUGGCUAAGAAAAGUUAUGCACAAUGGAAUGAUUAAAUCAUGCCUUUUCAAAGAAUCAAAGGCAUGUCCUUUCUGCUAUGCAGAAAUCCUGUUCCUGUUACAUCCAUCUAGCCAGAUUCAGGAUUUCUUUGGGAUUUUAAAUUUCUUAGGAGACUCUGAAGAACAACUGAAUCCGGUUAAAGCCAGUUUUGCUCUUCCAUAUACUCAGGGCCAUCUGUAAUUGCAUUCAUAUUCCUUUCGUGUUACAGCAGAUGGAAAAUCACUUUGAAGCCUGAUUUUAUGCUCUAAAGAAAAUCAUUCACAUUGUGACAGCAUUUCAAAGUAUUUCCAACUAACAUCCUUAUUCUGUAUGUAUCACUGUCUAUUACCGCACUAGAGAAAAGACACUGCAGUGAUAUCAUAGGCGGGGAACAAGAAUAACUUCUUCAGUUUUUGCUCAAAACCAAUCUCUUCUUGACCAGGCCUGCAAAUGAUGGGGUUACAGCUUGGGAUGUGUCCUCCUCAGGCCACUGUGUUCUCACAAAAACUGAAGCUAAUUGGACUGUUCAUGUACUUAUAGUUAAACACAUGCACUUCAUUGCUUUGCUGAAAUAAGGGUAGAUUGGCACUAGCCCAUGUUGGGAUGGUGCCAAAGCACAACAUUUACAGGGGAUUUCCAGGAGAUAACAUGUCUCCACCAUCCUUCCCAGGGGUCCAGGUAGCAUCUUCCCUGUCCCAAGUACAGGUACUCUUCACUUAACGUCGUCCCGGUUCACGUUGUUUUGUUAUUACGCCACUGAUCUAUUACAGAACAUACUUGUUUAAAGCUGUGCAAUGUUCGGUUUUAAUGUUGUUUGGCCGCUGCCUGCUAGUGGGUAACUAAUGUGACAAUUGGAUUUGCUUAACAUCGUUUUGCUUUAAGUUGCAUUUUUCAAGAACAUAACUAUGGCAUUAAGUGAGGAGUAGCUGUAGAGAUGUUGCCCCAAGCAAAGGCGGCACAGGAAUGAGGGACUCAUCCUUCUACUGUCAUGCCACAGUGUACCUAUUUGGGACAGUUCCAAGUGGGCCCAUUAUGGGACAUAUUUUCACCUUUUUCUGGAAACCUGUUACCUACUCACCUUAAUGCCUCUGAAGAGUAAGUAUAGAGCUAGACUGAUGGCCACUAAAAGACCUGAGGAAAGAGAUGUAUCUGUUAUACUAUUGAGCAUGAGGCAUGAUAAACAGCAUGAAUAUUUAACAGUUAAUAUUAGCAACAUGAAUAUUUAGUGUGAGCAGCAUGAAUAUUUAGCAGCUAUAGCAAAACAAAAAUGCCUGGAAAGGUCCCUGUCUUUAUCAGAGUCCAUAGAUUGCUGCCCAGUCCCUGUCAAGAUGAUUAGGCUUAAGUUUAAACAUUCUGAUUUUUGUCUUGGUCAUGAGCAUGCAUGUCUGUGUUGCUAUCUGUGCUGUUUAACUUGGGAGCAGCUAUUCUAGUAGAAAAUACAGGACUAUUCCUUGAGGAGCUCUGUAUUUCCACUUAUAAUCAUUUAAAUGGCACAAUGACAAUGAGCUGAUUGAAACAAGUGUGCACAUGUUGCGAAAAGGACUACACCCAUGCAGAGGAAAGGGAAACUACAGGACUGCAGUACCGUAAGAUACUCUUUCAGACUGAUUUUACAGCUUCAGGAUACAGCCUGAGAGAAAAGAACAGUUCAGAGCAACUGCCUUCCCUUAAAGCUUAUGAAAUUGGGGAACAACAUUGUACUUUGUUACUAGUAUAAGGCAGCAGAGAAAUUCCUUGGUCUACUAAAGGGUCAGAAACAGCUUUUCAAACAGUCUGCUCUUGGCCUGAGAAGGAGAACUUGACUCGGACAAAGGACAUAGAGCACACUUGAGUUGUGAUAAAGGACCCAGUUACAACAAUCUUCAUUUUUCAUCAGAUGGGGUUGUUCACAGAGUCUGUGCUUCCCCAGUAUACAAUUCUCCAUCUUAAACGAAGAGAUCUUGCAUCCAAGCAGAGCACAAGAACAAAGAUUUGCUGUUGCUUUGGGCUGCAAUAACGAUGACGGUGGCUACCACCAACUUUGUAGAACUCCUUGGGUUGCAUAUGAUCCAAGGGAGAGAUUCUGUUCAUCCCUACUCUGAAGAUCUGGCAUUUAAAAGAGAGAAUUGUAGAGGAAACUAUAAGGCAUCCACUCCAAGGAUGAAAUCUCAGGCCAGUUGGAGAGAAGGGAAAAAAAGGAGUAGCUGCAAACAGAAAGCAGAUGGAAAACCAAGAGACAGCAAUCAUCAAACUCAACAUUAGGGCCAAGAUGCAGCUUAGACAGUUGUUUUCAUUGAAAUUCACCUUGUGAGAGAAAUUUGUCAACUUUACUCUAGAUCUGGAUUUUCUCAGCUGGCAAAUUAAAAAAAAAAAAAGAUCAAAUGCAUUGAAGAUUCAAUCUCCAAGCCCAGCAUUCAGAACAUUCAAACAACUUUUCGCUUUCCACAUGAGCAAGAUUAAAUUAUCAUGCCAGUCACCCUCCAGUUUAAAAUGCUACUGCUGAAUUCAGUCUGACUGCUAUUCUCUUUUGCUGCAUUUAAUGUGGGUCGUUUAAAGAAUGGGAUGCAAUGAUGCUAUGGGAAAAAAAUCUUCAUAGAUAGAAAUAUCUAAAGGGUCAUUUUUCAUUUAGAGUCUGCUUUCUCCCUUCCAAGAGAGAGAGCAAACUGCAUGUGGGAGUCUCACUCCCAACCAGAAGCCAGUAACUGGUUUGUGUGUGAAGUGCUGUUUCCCCUGUUAAACCUCAUCCAGGUAGAGUUUUACAACUUCACUUUCACUUGUACAGCCCUUAUUUAAACCUAGCAUUUCUAUCACCAGUCAAAGGAGCAAAGCAAAACAUUUAAUGGUCUGUUUGACAAAUGUUCAUUAUUAAGAGCUGUAAGGCCUUUAGCAAUAAAGAGUAGACUGACUUAGUGUAAAUAACAGAUUAUGUUGUUCCAUAUUGAUUUUCUUUUUCUCUCUCAGUGACUCCCCAUGUGAAAUGUGCUUCUUUUACAAGUCAAAGGGUGAUUUUUCAGCCUGCCAGCACUCCAGGCUGGGGGUUUGGGAAGGAAGCUUUUAUUCGCUGCCUCCAUCAUCUCUGUAAAUAAAUCUCACAAUUAAGACACAGUUGAUCAUUUGAUGGUGACUGGUAAAGCAGGAUAAAAACCUACUUGUGGGCUCUGUAAAGCUAAUCCCACUUUAAAGAACCCGCUGUGAGGUGUUUCCAGUAGGACUGUGCGAAGCUUCGGUCUCUGUUUUGAUUUGGCGGACAUUCAGUGGUUGAAUCUCCAAAUCCAAAUCGAAUCAGAUGACCUUUUAACCUCUCUGAAUUGAUUCGGACAGAUUUAGCGAUUUGGACAUAGAGACAGCUUUUAAAUGAAGUAUGUCUGGUCCACUUCUGGGCUCGCUGCCGAGCAUGCUGGAGAGCCCCCCACACUGCUGUGGGAUGCUCCGUGCCCCCCAGCACUGCAGCGAUCACGAGCUGCACUGCUACCUCAAGGUAUGUAGAAAAAACUUUUAAAGCUGUGUCUGUGUCCGAAUCACCGAUUCACCGAAUCAGCAUUGAAUCAUCAGAUUCGGAUUUGGCCAAAUCGAAUUGGGGACAGCGAUGUGAAUGAACGGAUUGAAUUACUGUCCCUGAUUCGGACCGAAUCCGAACUGAAUGGGGCCCGUUUUGCACACCCCUCGUUUCUAGUUCCUGUUACUUUUUAGUGCCUUUCUUGAGCCUGCUCACCCCUUUUUGUUGUGUGAGACCUACAAACCCAAACAGCUCCCUAAGGGACAAGAGUGCAGAGCAUUUAUGUUCUUCAUGCCAGGUUCCUCCUGUGUGAAUCAAAGAGUAACAGCAGUGACUGUGUGUAUAUAGAGUUGACAAAUAAUAGAGAGUAGCACCACCCUGCCCUUGAAUGCAGGGGAGCUAGAAAUUAAAACAUCUGAACAGCUUUGGUUGAACCUUCUUGAAAGGGGCUCUGAUCAGCUGAUUCUACCAUUGAACAGAUGUGUGCAGAUGCUGCUCUUCCUCCUGUACUCAACAGACAUAGGUAGGUGUUCAGUUCUUUUUUAAAGUCAUUCUCAUCGGGAAUUUUCCUCUUUGAAACGUGCCAAGUCAUGCUGUCUCCACUGAAUUCUCUGACUGUUUAUCUGAGAACCAGUGACCUAGUUAAACAUCAAAGAUGCUUUCCCUUAGUUUGGAGGGCCAGAGGUGUAAAGAAACUUAAAGGCUAAGUACAGACAGUUAAAAAGCCUGAGGCUGAAUUGAUUCAAUCGUUGCAUGUUAGUCUAAGCUGUGUAGACUGAACCAGUAAGCAAGUGCACAGACAUUCACUUUUAAUUCUGGGAAUGCAGCCACAUGGCUGCAGUGGCCCAAGCCAGGAGCCGGAGAGCACUACAGUGCACCUCCUGCUGGGCUGGAGUAGACAGCUUGGGCCAAGGCUAAUCCACCCACCCUGUGAUGGGGUUUGUAGGGAAGGUGCAAAGCAUCCUGGCAUGCUGGGGGGACUGAGAGUUAACUUGAAUCUGGAGGAGAUCUGGGACAGAAAUUCAAUAAACAGAUUUAACCUAAAUCAGUUAAUUCUGAUACUACAUCCAUCCAGAUUUAUUGUAAGCUGGUUUCAGCCAUUAUGAAAGCGGUUUAUGUGCACUGAACUUCUGUUUUGUUACAGAUUUGAACAUGUUUUUGGUCACUUAUACCGGUUUAUUUGUAACUGCUGUCUGUAGCCAAAGCAGUCAGCCCACUUCAUAAGCUUAAAAUGGCAUUGCCUCAGGUGACAUUGUACAGCUAUUAUACAUCAGAAAUGAAUGCAUCAAAAAGCAAUUCUUGCUUCAGAGUUGGGAGAAUGGAGAAGAUAAGAAGUGGAGAAGAUGAAUAAAGCCUAACACAGACUGCCGCUUUGUCCUCUGUUCAGGUUAGAGGCAUGGAAGAAGAAAGAAAAUGGAAGGGCUAAGAAUGCAAAGGAGAAGUGAACAGCAAUGGAGUUCCAAAACCAGCAGUAUCUCUGGUAUCAAACAAGCCAGUCACUGCACCCGACUAGCCGCUUCCCCAUGCUGUAAGGCUCGUUACAGUUAAUAAUGAGUAAUAUGUGCAUGCAAAUGUUAACAAGGAGAAAUCCUGGUUUGUCCAAGCACAGAGGCAUCUGGGUCCUAAGUUUAAUUUUAAUUGGGAAGGGAGCAGGGGAAGCUGCUGUAGAAGAACUGGAGGUGAAGCAGAAGCAUUGUCAAGUGGUAGAAAACGGUUUCACUAGAGAAUCUCUUGCCAAACUGCGAUAUUGCAUUCCCCACCCACCCAUUAUUAAAGCUAUAUUGCAGUCUCACACACCUCCCUAUUUCAAUAGUGUUCACAUUCAGGUUUUGGUUUGACAGAAGCCUCUAUUAAAAUACUCGGAUCUGAACAUUGCGCAUCUCAGAUUUGAAUAGUGUUCCUGUUUGGAUCCAUCUCUGCUAUUGGACUAUGUCCCUCAAGUUCAAAAUCAUGUCAAACCUUUCCUAGAAAGGCAUGAAGAUAAAUUUCUUCAUGGAACAAAAUAUUUCCAUUUAUUUUUUCCCCCUUUGGGCUUUGUUCUGUCCUGUUUCUCCUUUCAAACUGCCUCUCUUCUCCCUUGCUGCUUGUGAUCGUGUACAACACCCAUCUCUCUCCAAGCACAGAAAUAAAGCUGCAGUCAUUCUCAGUUACCACUGAAAUGUCAGCUCACCCAGUUCAUUUUUUCCCAUUGUACUGGGUGGGGUGGUAACUUAGUUGCAUACAGAAACAGGCUCUUUCUUUUUUUAGUAUUAUCGACUAUAUUAAGCUAUUCACCAGGCUGCCAGUUUGGCCCAUUACUAAGGAAAAUAAGUAGUUUCUCUUCUGCUGUGGAGAAUUGUAAGUUAUGAAGUACUUAUGUGAGGUCUGCUCUUGAUUCAGCCAUUCAUUGUAGAAAUCCUGCUUUGUGUAUGAUACUCCAGAACAAGCCAGUUAAAGCAGCAGUAUAGUAUUAGGGACAAAUUCCCCUUUCAUAAUGCUGCUUUAAAAAUAAAAACACGUCUGUACUGUGAGCCUAUAAACAGCAUGAGUUGCCCUGAGAUGAGGACAACACACAAUUACCAUCCUGAGAUGCUGGAGCACAGACACACAGCAUUAUCGUUCCACUCGCCUUCGUUAUUCGGUUCAAUCAGCGUAUUGAAAUAUACAGAUGAAUUCUGUUUUGCCAAAUGUUCCCGGGGCAGGACUCUUGAAUGCAGCUGCAUUUUAAUAAUCUGUCUGCCGCAUGAAGACAGCUUGUGACAGACAGAGCAGAGAGCAAUGAGUUGGCCAAUGAAAACACAGGUGGUAGAUCUCAUUUGAAGGGUCCUAGCCUUUCUGCUGCCUCUAUAAAGAUUAGAUGAAAUCUUCUGGAUUCAAGGCUCUUCUCACCUUGUUCAGGACAAGUAUCAGCAACAAUCCUUGGGUUUUUCCCCCUUACCUCAUGCCUUGUGGCUUUGGCAGGGAAGUCACACUAAUGGAAAUGUACUGAAAUGGAAUGCAAAACCUUCUGAAACUUGCCUGUGUCUUUUGUAUGCACAAAAUGCAGGCCAGGACUAUGCAAAAAAAAAUGUUGCUGUCAUUUUUAAAUCUUGGUGUGGGGGGUGAGGGAAAGAAACCUGCUUUGAUUUAUGUUCUCUCUUCAAACCCAGGUGAACUUGGCAAUUUUGCAUGGUAUGGAUGCGGAAAGAGGGAGAUCUUCCAUUUGUAACUGACUUUUACUUUAAGCUUUUGCCUUUUUUUCAGAACCCAUGGCUCAAAAAAUGUUGAGCAUCUACAAAAUGAAAUUACUGAAUUUACUAGCUCUCCUCUCUGCUCCAUUCUCUUGCCUAAUCUUUGCUGUCUGAAAGCCAGAACGCAAAGUGAGAAGGAACUUUUUGCCACCUCCAAAAAAGUCAUUGCAUUGGUAUAUGUGGGAAGGGCUUCCGUUCUAAAGAUGGCCUUCAGCAUGUGGGUUACGUAUGAGGGCUGAUUUUAGAAUAGAGUAAGUCCUGGCAGAAUUGAGGGUCUGUCUUCAGUUCUGUAAUUACGGUAUGAAGUUUGGAUUUGGAGUUUUUUAUUGCUUACGUGUCACAGUCCUUUUCAAAUGACCACUGGCAGAUGCAUUGGUAGAAUAAGUUUCCUAGAUUAACUACCAAAAAAAAUAAAACCAACCAUGAUUCUU